rnacentral:misc_RNA from 1 species
GGAAGUAAGAGUCGUAACAAGGUUUCCGUAGGUGAACCUGCGGAAGGAUCAUUACUGAGUGAGGGCCCCUCGGGGUCCAACCUUCCACCCGUGUUUAACGAACCUUGUUGCUUCGGCGGGCCCGCCUCACGGCCGCCGGGGGGCAUCUGCCCCCGGGCCCGCGCCCGCCGAAGCCACCUGUGAACGCUGUCUGAAGUAUGCAGUCUGAGACAAUUAUUAAAUUAAUUAAAACUUUCAACAACGGAUCUCUUGGUUCCG